UACGUAGGUGGCAAGCGUCGUCCGGAUUUACUGGGCGUAAAGAGCGCGCAGGCGGUCGUACAAGUCGCGUGUGAAAGCCCCCGGCUCAACUGGGGAGGGUCACGCGAUACUGUUCGACUCGAAGGCAGGAGAGGGAAGCAGAAUUCCCGGUGUAGUGGUGAAAUGCGUAGAUAUCGGGAGGAAUACCAGUGGCGAAGGCGGCUUCCUGGCCUGUUCUUGACGCUGAGGCGCGAAAGCUAGGGUAGCAAACGGG
rnacentral:rRNA from 1 species